rnacentral:rRNA from 1 species
GAUGAACGCUGGCGGCGUGCUUAACACAUGCAAGUCGAACGGAAAGGCUCCUGCUUGUAGGGGUAUUCGAGUGGCGAACGGGUGAGUAACACGUGGGUGAUCUGCCCUGCACUUUGGGAUAAGUCUGGGAAACUGGGUCUAAUACCGGAUAGGACUAUGGUUUGGAUGCCAUUGUGGAAAGUUUGUCGGGUUGGGAUGAGCUUGCGGCCUAUCAGCUUGUUGGUGGGGUAAUGGCCUACGAAGGCGUCGACGGGUAGCCGGCCUGAGAGGGCGUACGGCCGGAUUGGGACUGAGGUACGGCCCAGACUCCUACGGGAGGCAGCAGUGGGGAAUGUUGCACAAUGGGCGCAAGCCUGAUGCAGCGACGCAGCGUGGGGGAUGACGGCCUUCGGGUUGUAAACCCCUUUCGCUAGGGACGAAGCGCAAGUGACGGUACCUGGAGAAGAAGCGCCGGCUAACUACGUG